UUAAUUGAAUCCAAAUUAGAGGAAUAUUAAUGUUAAUAAUAAAAUUGAUUGAGUAUCCAAUUAAU
rnacentral:tRNA from 1 species